rnacentral:rRNA from 1 species
GACAGAGGAGCCAAGCGUUGUCCGGAUUUACUGGGCGUAAAGAGCGCGCAGGCGGUCGUUCAAGUCGCGUGUGAAAGCCCCCCGGCUCAACUGGGGAGGGUCACGCGAUACUGAUCGACUCGAAGGCAGGAGAGGGUAGUGGAAUUCCCGGUGUAGUGGUGAAAUGCGUAGAUAUCGGGAGGAACACCAGUGGCGAAGGCGACUACCUGGCCUGUUUCUUGACGCUGAGGCGCGAAAGCUAGGGGAGCAAACGGG